rnacentral:rRNA from 1 species
UACGUAGGCAGCAAGCGUUGUUCGGAGUUACUGGGCGUAAAGGGUGCGUAGGCGGCCCAGUAAGUCCGCUCUGAAAGCCCGGGGCUCAACUCCGGGAGGCGGGUGGAUACUGCUGGGCUCGAGUCCGGAAGAGGCGAGUGGAAUUCCUGGUGUAGCGGUGAAAUGCGUAGAUAUGCGGAGGAACACCGAUGGCGAAGGCAAUCCCCUGGACCUGUACUGACGCUCAUGCACGAAAGCGUGGGGAGCAAACAGG